GACAGAGGAGCCAAGCGUUGUCCGGAUUGACUGGGCAUAAAGCGCACGCAGGCGGUCGUGCACGUGGGGUGUGAAAACUGGCGGCUUAACUGCCAGAGGCCACCUCAUACGGCGCGACUCGAGCCCUGCAGAGGUCCAUGGAAUUGCCGGUGUAGCGGUGAAAUGCGUAGAGAUCGGCAGGAACACCCAGGGGGAAACCAGUGGACUGGGCAGGAGCUGACGCUCAGGUGCGAAAGCGUGGGGAGCGAACCGG
rnacentral:rRNA from 1 species